CUCCAUCCUUGGCAGCAGCAGAGCCCAGAUGUGCAGUUCCUGGAAGGAAUCGCUCCCACAGUGUCAUCUGGCUAUCACCUCCCCUCGCCUGGUUUCUCCAGCGGAUUCAAAAGUGGCGAUGCUGUGUAUCAUGCCAGUUUCACCUACGUUCACACCAUUCUUUUGUAAACGGGAGUACCUGGUUCACUUUACACGUUUCUAAACUGAGAAGGAAGAAAUCACAGCAUCCAGACUUCCAUUAGAGGGUCACUUCUCCCCUGCUGUGCGCGGUCUUGGUGACCCUAUAAAUCAAGGUGCCCCACCCUCUUCUUCUAAGGGCUGGGCACACGACUAAAUUCCAGCUGCUUUAGCUCCAUUCUCUCUCCCUCUCCUUCCCUCCUUCUCCUUCUUUUUCUCUCUCUUUCCUUCUUCUAAGACUUUGAGUCUUGAGAAAACGACGAAAGAACAAGGAAAACAGCUGGAAUGCAUGUUCACUGGCUGUGCCCUCCAAGACUGGGGAGAAGUUCCUGGUGCUUAAACCCUCAGAGUCUUCGUUCACACAGCUAUUAAAGGAUGCUGCCAGAAGCAGAACCGAAGUUUCCAGACUCUGAUUUUACCACUGCAUCCCCUGCAGCCACUCUGAUUGUUAGUGAGUCCUUGUCUUGAGAGGUCUUCGAGGAAUCCUGGCUCAGCAAAGGGUAUGAGGGAGGUUUGCUACUGAUGGCUUCAGGGGUUUGAGAGGGGCAAGGAUGGCCUGAUGUUCUGCUAUUUGACCUUUUGGCUUACUCUUCACUGCCUUCUAUGAGACUAUAUAUAUUUAAUUGCCCCUGAAUGACAUAAGCAUUAAGUCUCAACUGCACUGAAUAUAUUUGAUCUUGUCUAUAUUAAAUAGAAGGGAAAAAGUUUUUUCAGUUUUUACUUAUUUGUUUUUGACAAAUAAAAACUGUAUAUAUUUAAGAUACCCAAGGUGAUGUUUUGAUAUAUGUAUACAUUGUGAAAUGAUUACAACAAUUAGACUAAUCAACAUAUC
rnacentral:lncRNA from 1 species